GCCACCCUAGUUUAAUUUAGAACAUUUGGUUUGCAUCUAAAAAGUGGAUUUAUUCGAGUGACA
rnacentral:tRNA from 1 species